GACGGAGGAUGCAAGCGUUAUCCGGAAUGAUUGGGCGUAAAGCGUCCGCAGGUGGCAGUUCAAGUCUGCUGUCAAAGACCGGGGCUCAACCUCGGAAAGGCAGUGGAAACUGAACAGCUAGAGUACGGUAGAGGGGGAUGGAAUUCCGCGUGUAGCAGUGAAAUGCGUAGAUAUGCGGAGGAACACCGAUGGCGAAGGCAAUCCCCUGGACCUGUACUGACGCUCAUGCACGAAAGCGUGGGGAGCAAACAGG
rnacentral:rRNA from 1 species